CUCAGAUUGAAUGCUGGCGGCAGGCUUAACACAUGCAAGUCGAACGAUGAUUAUCUAGCUUGCUAGAUAUGAUUAGUGGCGGACGGGUGAGUAACAUUUAGGAAUCUGCCUAGUAGUGGGGGAUAGCUCGGGGAAACUCGAAUUAAUACCGCAUACGACCUACGGGUGAAAGGGGGCGCAAGCUCUUGCUAUUAGAUGAGCCUAAAUCAGAUUAGCUAGUUGGUGGGGUAAAGGCCCACCAAGGCGACGAUCUGUAACUGGUCUGAGAGGAUGAUCAGUCACACCGGAACUGAGACACGGUCCGGACUCCUACGGGAGGCAGCAGUGGGGAAUAUUGGACAAUGGGGGCAACCCUGAUCCAGCCAUGCCGCGUGUGUGAAGAAGGCCUUUUGGUUGUAAAGCACUUUAAGCAGGGAGGAGAGGCUAAUGGUUAAUACCCAUUAGAUUAGACGUUACCUGCAGAAUAAGCACCGGCUAACUCUGUGCCAGCAGCCGCGGUAAUACAGAGGGUGCGAGCGUUAAUCGGAAUUACUGGGCGUAAAGCGAGUGUAGGUGGCUCAUUAAGUCACAUGUGAAAUCCCCGGGCUUAACCUGGGAACUGCAUGUGAUACUGGUGGUGCUAGAAUAUGUGAGAGGGAAGUAGAAUUCCAGGUGUAGCGGUGAAAUGCGUAGAGAUCUGGAGGAAUACCGAUGGCGAAGGCAGCUUCCUGGCAUAAUAUUGACACUGAGAUUCGAAAGCGUGGGUAGCAAACAGGAUUAGAUACCCUGGUAGUCCACGCCGUAAACGAUGUCUACUAGCCGUUGGGGUCCUUGAGACUUUAGUGGCGCAGUUAACGCGAUAAGUAGACCGCCUGAGACGCCGACUGG
rnacentral:rRNA from 2 species